GUUUCAGUUCAAGUCAGUCGAUCCUACGCUUGUCCCACGUAAAGUUGUGAUUACAAAUGACCAAGUUCAACAUUCUAAUCAGCAAUGAAGUGCAACGAAUCUUCUAUGAAUAUUUAGCAGCACCAUUGUCGUAGGAACAAGAAAUCAUCAACCCAGCCAAGUGUGACUGCUUUGCAAGCACAUCUAGCGGGAAAUCAGCGUGUACGUGUAGUGGCCGAGAUGCAUUGACGGAACGAAAAGGAAACAAAAAGGCAAGACAAAGAGACACCGAAGAAGACGUGACUACUCAUGAAUACUUAAUCAAAAACCGACAAGAGAAAAAAAAGAAUUUAAAAGGACAUCCGGGGGAGUCGACAGCAAUUUGCACUUGGCGGGAGCAACUCCGGGAAAAAAAAAUGCGAGAGAAUAAAAGGAACAACUACUAUAGAAUGCUAUUCCAGUUCAAAAGACGGUAAAAAAAAAACGUUUGUGUGCCAUGUGUCACUGAAUAACCCGAUGGCCUUUAUAUUAAAGAAACAUUGACGAUGACAUAAAAUGCUGGUGGACGUGGCCAGCUGUGGACGCCAUCCUGCGGAUACGUAUAAAGGUCUAUACACAAGAGUGUGCACUACAGCUUUUAUGGUUAAAGUGCUUGUCGAGGACAGUUUGUUCGGCAGGUCCCAGUCGACAUGGUUGAUGGUUUUGCAUCUGAGUCACUCAACGCGUCGAUAAACGACCCAAAAAUUUUUGAAUUUUGUAGGGUCUCCCCAUUUAAUCACAAGGAAAAACAGAGAAGGAAAACCAUAAAAAUGACAGUUGACUUUGCAUUGUGGGAUAGAAGAAACUAAAAUUUGUGGAAGAAAAUUCUCGGGAAAGUCCCCGUCGCCCUGAUAAAGUUAGAUCUUCUGUCACCGCGUAAACCGACUUGUUUAACAUCUACGGGACACUCGUCAGUAAUCUGCAGUAGUUUUUCAUCGCUCACUGCUGUCUGACAUUUUGCAAGCGAGAAGAAUUGGCCCAAAAGGAAUUAGUAAACACAUUCUUUUGAGGCUUAGAAAAAAAAAAACAGAUGGGAAGAAAACAAACAGAAUUGAAUUUGUAAUAAAUAAAUCUAUCCCUUUUCAAUUAAACUUUUAGUAAAAAAUCCAAAAACGAAGAAGCGAACGCGCAAUUGCGUCUUGUAAUAUCCACAAAGAAAACAAACUAACAUAAAGAAACAUAGGAUAAGGUAAUGGAAAGAAAAGAUUAAAUUAAAACUAAAAUAAUCAUUUUCUCCUUUUUCUUUUCCAGACGGGGAAUCAUUAUUCACUUUCAGGCUCGACCUCUCAUAUCGUCACUCACAGCAAUCUUUACUGUUUGGAGCUAGUAGUUAGAGCCAAAUCAAUGUUGGCUAGUUCAAGAGGGCCGAAAAUGUGACGGGCUGGAGUGUUGCUGUCCUCCGACGUGAAGAACUCGACGACGAGUUCCUUGUAACGCUCGAAUGAAAUAGUUCGAUCAACGUCCUUUGCCUGCAUGUCAAGUAUUGUCGUUGAAUAUAGAAUUCUUUCGCUUUA